CGAAGUGUAACUCAGUGGCAGAGCGUUCGCUUUGCAUGCGAAAGGCCCUGGGUUCGAUCCCCAGCUCCUCGA